UUCAAUAAAAGUUUUAAAACUCAAAAGAUCUAAAGAUAAAGUACUAAAAAAUCUUCCCUUCACCUAUAAGCUUUUAGAAAUCUUGAGUUGGAGAAUAGGUGCUUGGAGUUCCAAUGCUCCAAAACAAAUUCAUUCUUGGAGUUCCACGUAGAAGGAAAAGUGGUCCAGAGUUUCUGGGAAGUGCAAGUCGCACAAUCGAAGAGGUUCUUCGGUGAUACAAGUUGAAUGGCCAGUCCCAACUAAAGUUUAGCAAUAUCUAAACUAGCUUUUCUAGUGUAUCUCUUUGGCAUGGUUCGCUCGAAAGUUUUUUAUCGUUGUGAAGAGUUCUUCAUACGGUUUUUCUCCAUCAUCAAUUUUUGAAUUAUGAAAAAUUGAACUAUGAUAUGCCAAUGUAUGAACCAUGAAAGCUUUAUAAACCAUGCUCUGAUACCAAUUGACACGAUCCGUCCUGAAUCACUCUAAUGGACCCGACACGCGUCAUGCGCCGAUGGUAGAUACCAGCUAAGUGCCGUACUCACCACUAAGGCAACCUUAACCUAAU
rnacentral:lncRNA from 1 species